rnacentral:rRNA from 1 species
UACGGGGGGGGCAAGCGUUGUUCGGAAUUACUGGGCGUAAAGGGCUCGUAGGUGGCCAACUAAGUCAGACGUGAAAUCCCUCGGCUUAACCGGGGAACUGCGUCUGAUACUGGAUGGCUUGAGUUUGGGAGAGGGACGCGGAAUUCCAGGUGUAGCGGUGAAAUGCGUAGAUAUCUGGAGGAACACCGGUGGCGAAGGCGGCGUCCUGGACCAACACGUGACACUGAGGAGCGAAAGCCAGGGGAGCAAACGGGAUUAGAUACC